rnacentral:tRNA from 1 species
GACCGAAUGGCGUAGUGGUUAGUGACCUACUGAGCCGAUGGUCCCGGGUUCGAUUCCCGGCUGGGGCA